AGAUGGCUUGAUGGCGAUUGAGUAGAUAAGUUAUCAAUUAAAUAAUUCAAUCAAGAUGACUCACUUUAAGCGUGAAAGACCGCUGACAAAAGAGUCCGCACCGCUCUACGAAUUGCUAAAGGGCGAGGGCGAAAGUAGGUAAAGUGACACCACAGGACCUUCAAAACGGGCUAUGCUAAGUAGCCCAUAGCUAAGUCCUAUAUAAGUAUAGGAUACGCUAAAAACGUGGCGAGAUGGGCUGAUACACACGAUGAGGACACGAACAGAGACCGAAAGGAAAGCAAGUAGGGCGUGCAGACGCUUGUAGAAAGUUCGGAUCAGGAUUGAAAUAUCUUGAUAGUUAGCAAUUCC
rnacentral:sRNA from 12 species